GUGAGGUAGAGAACAGUCAAUGGAGUGACCUAAUUACUGCAGGUGACACUCAUUACAGUAAUCAGCAAAUAGAGUGCAGGCAGGUGAAGCAACUUGACUCUGUCUGUCAUCUCUCCUCGUCCCUGUCUCUUGCUCUCCCUGCUUCACCUGUCUGCACUCAGCUGAUUACUGCAGGUGACUCACAUUACAGUAAUCAGCUCACCUGCCCUCAAUAUCACCUGCUCACUAUUUAAACUCUGCUUAGUGACUCUUUGCCUGUUUGACCAUAAACUACUGGACGCCUGCUUCCCUCCAGGCUCAGAUUCCCACAAAGACUCACAUGGCUUCACACGCUCUGCUCCCUCAUGGACUCUGCUUCCCCACUUCUGGACUCCUUUUUCCCCGACCCGUUUUCUCCGUCUUGGCCCAAACCGUCCCUUAAAUAACCCUGGGUCCGUUUCACGAAGCAGGUUCAACAAACUCUGUGUAACCCUGAACUCUGAGUUGAUCUACUCUGAGAUAGAAAACUCUGAGUUUUCGGUUUCACAACGGCUGAUUUGAGUUGGUUUAAUCAACUCGGAGUAGUUUCACCCAGAGUGCACCGCAACUAUAAAAAGACAGCAUCAAUGGAACCCCGAUUCGACGACUCACCGUGGUGACGGGGGAGCGGAGAGCUACGUUUUUUACACCACUUGAACUGGACAUCUUAAUGCGUUCAUAUGGCGACUUCGAACACGUUUUUAGAAAGAAGUGCAGCAGCUGCAAAAGAGAGGGAGACGGCGUGGGAGAACAUUGCUGCCCGGGUCAAUGCGUAAGUUUAAAUCACAAUAAUAUUACAGGAAAACUGUUUAAUAGUAGCCUAUUCUGUUAUUUCAUUUAGGUGCAAUCCUGCAGGGGAAGAAGCGCAUGUAACAGCAGCUGAAGAUGAAAUAUAAGAACAUUGUUCAAACAGAAAGAAAGCAGAUGCCUGUAAAAAGGGAGGUGGCCCAGCACCACCACCUGUAACGGAGGCAGAGGAGCUGGUCCUAAGCCAGAAUUUAGGAAGGCCAGUGGCUGAGGGAAUCCCUGGAGGGAGCUCAUCCUCUGAGACCACAUCCCAAGACACAAGCAAGAGGAAAAGGUGCAACAGAAAAUUGGACUUUCCAAGCAUACUUGUGGAGAUGCACGCUGAGGAGGAGUGGAGUCAUGCCCAGCAUGAUGAGAACAUCUGGUUGCUCCUCAGCGAGGCAAGAGAGAAUGAAGCGGCCUUGCAGCGGGAGGAGAUGGUCCAGAAUGCUGCCUUCAACCAGUCAUUCCUGGGUGUACUGGGGCAGCUGGUGCAGGCAGUGGGCAGCCAGCGAGUCCACCUCCCAGAGACUUGAGAUUUAGUUGUAUAUAGUUUUACUUUUAGCCCUCUACUGUAGGAGAGGCCCACCA
ensembl:lncRNA